rnacentral:lncRNA from 1 species
AUUCUUUUCCUUCCACUAGAAGUUGUUUCCCUACACCUAAACUUGAAUAAUACUUAGCUAUGGAAGCCCGGGUGCCUUUGCAUUUUUCUCCAGUUUGAAGUGCUUUAUUUUACACUUAAAAGGUUCCUGACCCUAACUUAUACAGGGCUGUAUCUGCCAUUGAGUUGCAUGCAGAUUUCCUAGUGACUUCAAUGAGAGUUCUGAGUGCAGAACAAUAGUAGGACAAGUCACUUACAGAAUAUUUUGUGGCACCCUUAUUGUGGUUAAAUUUAUUUCCCAUUGUCAUCCCCAUUUUCAGAGGUUUGUAGUGUGGCCAAAAUCACUCAGUCUAGGCUGAAACUUGGUAUAUAAGCUCUCACCUGGGGAGUAUCCUUCAGUUUAAUAGUAUUUUUGAAGAAAUAGUUUGUAUUUGUUAUAGAAACUAAAGAAAAUGUCAUGGGUUUAGAAUCGUUGUGCUUUUCUAAUGCUUUUGAAUUUUAAACUGAGAAUUUUGCAUAUAGUGCUAGAAUAUGAACUGGACUUUUUGGAGGGAAAAGAUUAAAAAAUGACUCGCUGUGACUCCACUGUGGAUAAGCAACAUGUUAAGUUAUGUGCAUUUCCUCUUUCCAGUGAAUAAUAUGUGUAAUUUUAAUCGUGUGCACUUCGUGUGUUUGUUUGGUAGCUAGAAUGCCACAACAGACAGUUAUUGCUGCAGAAGAGCCCCAACAGUCUAUCAUAUACACAGGUCACGAACCAAGAUUUUAAAGGAUAGACUGAAUUGGCAACAAAGGAACAGUUAAUGUUUGAUCAAAACUCCACUUCACAAAAUCUCUCUCUCUCUGCUUCACUUCUUUCAGCUUCCCUUCCAGUUGGAUCUGAGACUUGGAAGCAGAGGAGGAAUCCAAAAUUGUGUUUCAAUUAGACUGAAGCCUGGUUCCAGUUUGAAAGGCAAAAAUCAGUAAUCAGUGGGACUUCCGAGGCUGGCAAUCCGACUUUAAGUUAAAGCCUUUGGAGAAAUAAUGUGCUUUUAGUUUUGCAAGUUCCACAAAGGAUCUGGGCAUUUGCUUUAUACAAAACAAUGUAUUCUGCAUUUGUAUUUAGUAUAUAUGCCUUCAAUUUGCCAAUGUUACCAUGUUUUCUUCUUAAGUUUGUGAAAUAAAGAUUUAUAGAUAUUAAAAUGUGUACUGUAU